CCUACGGGCGGCUGCAGUCGAGAAUCAUUCACAAUGGUGGGAACACUGAUGGUGCGAAGCCGCGUGGGGGAAUGAAGUACUUCGGAUUGUAAACCCCUGUCAUGUGGGAGCAAAUUAAAAAGAUAGUACCACAAGAGGAAGAGACGGCUAACUCUGGGCCAGCAGCCGCGGGAAUACAGCGGUCUCAAGCGUUGUUGGGAAUCACUGGGCGUAAAGCGUGCGUAGGCUGUUUCGUAAGUCGUGUGUGAAAGGCGCGGGCUCAACCCGCGGACGGCACAUGAUACUGCGAGACUAGAGUAAUGGAGGGGGAAGCGGAAUGCUCGGUGUAGCAGUGAAAUGCGUAGAUAUCGAGCGGAACACUCGUGGCGAAGGCGGGUUCCUGGACAUUAACUGACGCUGAGGCACGAAGGCCAGGGGAGCGAAAGGGAUUAGAUACCCCAGUAGUC
rnacentral:rRNA from 1 species